CAAUUACCAAAAAGGCAGUGUUGAAAACACUAUUGAGACGGCAAGCAUAGGUCAUCCAGUCGGCAUCAUGCUCUCCAGCUAGAGAUGACAUUAAACACAUAAUUUGCAUUUUAGAAAUCGGUGAGGAUUGAAACUCUUUCAUCUAAUUGAAGAUCUCAAAUUGUUUUUGGAUGGAUGACACAUUUGACCACCUAUCCUUAGCAAAUCCUGACCCUCGUAACAACAGCCCAACUUCUGGGGUAUCAGCGAGAUCAUCUCAGAAAACAUCAUCAGAAAACGAACGUCAAGAGUUCCAGGAAGAGUUCUCUUUUCUUCAUUACGACGGCUACCAAUCCUGGAGUCGGGUUGUCCCGAGAUUGGGGUAUAUCACCACGUCUCUUGUGGCCACCCUCCCCCAAUUCUCAUACAAAUCCCAUACAAGUCCUAGAGAGGCCGUAUCCAUAUCCACAUCAGCUAUCCAAUAUGGAGGGUCUCUGAUACUAGAAGAUGGUAGGUAGGGUAAUUUGGCAUACUUGAUCCCUAACUUCGGGAAAAGGAUUGGCUCUGAGGGUUGAGUUAAUCAGGCUGCAUUAAGGAAUGUGUCUGUUUGGCUUGUGGCUGGUACGAGCACUAAUUUACACCUGCUCCCGUUGUGUGUCACCUACAUGUUGGGUGUAAUUGACGGUUGCGGCGAGCUGCGCAAACGAGGGAGGGGUGAGUAGAGUGGGUUGUGAGCGACUUCAACUAUGCAUAUGCCAUGGUUGGCGGCUGUAGUAUGUAGA
rnacentral:ncRNA from 1 species